UGCAUCAUGCGUGACCUCCCCA
rnacentral:miRNA from 13 species